rnacentral:rRNA from 1 species
GAUGAACGCUAGCGGCAGGCUUAAUACAUGCAAGUCGAGGGGCAGCAUGAUUGUAGCAAUACAAUUGAUGGCGACCGGCAAACGGGUGCGGAACACGUACACAACCUCCCAAUAAGUGGGGAAUAGCCCAGAGAAAUUUGGAUUAAUACCCCGUAACAUAACGAUGUGGCAUCACAUUGUUAUUAUAGAUUUUUCGCUUAUUGAUGGGUGUGCGGCUGAUUAGAUAGUUGGCGGGGUAACGGCCCACCAAGUCUACGAUCAGUAGCUGAUGUGAGAGAAUGAUCAGCCACACGGGCACUGAGACACGGGCCCGACUCCUACGGGAGGCAGCAGUAAGGAAUAUUGGACAAUGGACGCAAGUUUGAUCCAGCCAUGCCGCGUGAAGGAUUAAGGUCCUCUGGAUUGUAAACUUCUUUUAUAAGGGACGAAAAAAGGCUUUUCUAAGUCGUCUGACGGUACCUUAUGAAUAAGCACCGGCUAACUCCGUGCCAGCCGCCGCUGUAAGAC